AAUUCUCAAAACAUAUAAAGAUGCAUAUACAUUACUAAUUAAAAAUAUUCAAUAAAUCAUGGAAUAAGAAAAAAUACUUAGCCAUGAAAUAGGUGAAAAAAGAUUUAUAGUUUUUUCAAACACAGAAGACAAAUGAGAAAGCAUUUAAAUAAACAUCAUAAAUAUAAGGAGAUGGAAAAAAGAAGUAAAACUUACAAUUUGGCAUAAAAAGAGAUUGAAAUUUCUCAAAGGCACAUUUUUCUUGAGUACCCUGUAAAUCAAAAACAAAUAAUUGAAGCAGAAACCCAAGUUAAUUGCUUGUAAGACACAAAACCUAUCAAAUCUUCAAAAUCGCACUCCUUAUAAAAUAUAAGGCAUAAUAUCUCUUAAAUUGCUGGAAUAACUCGUAAAUUGAAGUUAAAAAUCUAAAUCCAAGUAAAUGUAAGAAGAUUCAGAAACUCUACGAUAUAGAGACAUGAGCUUACCCGGAAAGAGACAAACCAACACGUUAAAUUUUUGUCUAUAAAUAGAGAACCAGUAGGGAUACCAUCUUGUUCCUAUUUAUCUUUCUUGCGGCCUUAAUUAAGGCCGACUACUGAAGGUGGAAGAAAGACAUAAGAAAAUGGGGAGGGAGAGUGCGGCUGAGGGAGGAAGUAGGAAGUUUAGGUUUAGGUUUUAGAUUUACGUCGUCUACUUCUUAUAUAUGUUGCCUUAGUUUACUUCUAAUACAAA
rnacentral:lncRNA from 1 species